UACGGAGGGUGCAAGCGUUAUCCGGAUUCACUGGGUUUAAAGGGUGCGUAGGCGGGCAGGUAAGUCAGUGGUGAAAUCCCCAGGCUCAACUUGGGAACUGCCGUUGAUACUAUCUGUCUUGAAUAUCGUGGAGGUGAGCGGAAUAUGUCAUGUAGCGGUGAAAUGCUUAGAUAUGACAUAGAACACCCAUUGCGAAGGCAGCUCACUACACGGUAAUUGACGCUGAGGCACGAAAGCGUGGGGAGCAAACAGG
rnacentral:rRNA from 1 species